AUUUUAGAGAGUAAAGAAUUUUUAAAACUAAUUAACAUGGCGGUUAUAUUUCCCAGUCAGAGGGGUGUGUAUGUAAACGACUUUACACGAAAAUCUUACCUAAAAUAUUAUUAAUUAUGACCCCAUUUUAUAGGGGGUCAAUAAUGUUAAUUUUGUACACCUCCGUCGGAAGGAUAUUUCGAGAGAUUUGUCCAAAGCACUUUCUUUCACUUAAUGAAUUUUGUUUGUUGAAUUAAGUAAACAGCAAGGGUAAAUUAUUUUAGAAAAGUAAGGUAAUAAGUCAGGUCAAGGUGCAGACUAUGUUUAGGACAAAUACGCACUUUUUUAAAA
rnacentral:rRNA from 1 species